rnacentral:rRNA from 1 species
UUUCAUAAUAAAAUAUAUUUUAAAAAAAGGUACGACCGAUCUCGUCUGAUCUCAGAAGCUAAGCAGGGUCAGUCCUGGUUCGUACUUGGAUGGGAGACCGCCUAGGAAUACCAGGUGCAGUAAGCA